UACGUAGGGUGCGAGCGUUGUCCGGAAUUAUUGGGCGUAAAGAGCUCGUAGGCGGUCUGUCGCGUCGGUCGUGAAAACUUGGGGCUUAACCCUGAGCUUGCGGUCGAUACGGGCAUGACUAGAGUUCGGUAGGGGAGACUGGAAUUCCUGGUGUAGCGGUGAAAUGCGCAGAUAUCAGGAGGAACACCGGUGGCGAAGGCGGGUCUCUGGGCCGAUACUGACGCUGAGGAGCGAAAGCGUGGGGAGCGAACAGG
rnacentral:rRNA from 1 species